AUUGAACGCUGGCGGCAUGCCUUACACAUGCAAGUCGAACGGCAGCGGGGGAGAAGCGUGCUUUUCCUGCCGGCGAGUGGCGAACGGGUGAGUAAUAUAUCGGAACGUGCCAUGUAGUGGGGGAUAACUAGUCGAAAGAUUAGCUAAUACCGCAUACGACCUGAGGGUGAAAGUGGGGGACCGCAAGGACUCAUGCAAGAGGAGUGGCCGAUGUCUGAUUAGCUAGUUGGCGGGGUAAAGGCGUACCAAGGCGACGACCAGUAGCUGGUACGAGAGGGAGACCAUGGACCCUGUGACUGAAACACGGCCCAUACUCCUACGGGACGCGGCAGUGAGGUGUUUUGAACAACGGGAAAGAGCCUAAUCCAGAGAUGUCGCGUGUUUGAAGCGGGCCUUGGGGUUGUAAAGCACUAUUGUCCGGAAAGAAGUGGCUCUGGUUAAUACCUGGGGUCGAUGAUGGUACCGGAUGAAUAACGACCGGCUAACUACGUGCCAGCAGCCGCAGUAA
rnacentral:rRNA from 1 species